UCGUCCGUCCAUCCGUUCUCAGAGCAGAGCAGAGCAGAGACCUCGGCCGCCGCCCUUUUCUUCUUCUCCGCAAACCCAGCGACAGCGAGCCACCCAUAAUCCUCCUCCUCCGGUAAGGAGGAUAUACUCUGGCGCCCGGGUCAGUAGCGCGCCGGAUCUUUAAAUUUCCGCGGGAGGAUUGAUGUUCUGCACGCCCACCUCUAUCUGUCCACGCCGGAUUCGACUCCGUUUACCACUAUCUGUCUAACGCGGAGGUGAAUUUGAAUUUCAGGACCAGUCCGCCUUGCUCUGGCUGGCGCCAGACCUUCCUUCUUCUUCUCCUUCUCUUCAAUCUUCAUGCGAGUAGUGCUGUUUAUCAUUUUAUUUAUACCACCGGAUCAAUAGCCAACUCGGUUUUGCUCCGGUGUACGGAUAACUUAUCUUUUUUUUUCUUGGAACAAUAAUAAGAGUAUAGUAAUCCGGUGCAGCGCUAAGUUAUUAUAAAUAGUGGCAGAGUAAGGACGAGGAUUGGCCUGUAAUAAUCAUUCAAGCCUCCACGCUCGCCUCAAAGAUUUCGUUCAAAGCCUCGUCGGGUUUCAGGGGCCUCACACUCCAUGGAGGCCAUAAAUAACGGUUUCAGCGACAGUUCCCGCAGCCAAGGAUGCUCAUCUCGAUUUUGGUGAAACUGCACAAAAUGAUCC